AACCAAACCAUUCCCUUUCGCUCUUUAACCAAAAUCCAAUCUUUGAACACAAACCAAGCCUAUUACGUGGGUUUUCCGGGAAAGCAAUUGGAUUUUUGUUUGAAAGGAAGUUAAGGGUCGUGUGAGUGCAAAAGAGGAUGGCGUUGAUGAAGCUGAGGAGGAAAGUAGAGGGGAGAGUACCAUGCCGGAGCGGUUUAGGUACUUGACCGAAGAAGCUCCUGACCCUCCUGUGAAGUUGGCAUGGUUUCUGGGUGAAUUGGUGUGGUAAACGGUAGCAACAAGCAAACGGCUGGAUGCAAGAGGCAUCGAAAAGAGAGAGAUGGACAACAGACAUGUAUAAAAGAGUUCAUGAGGCGAUCCAAGUAAAAGUGGAAGUUCAUGCAGUUCAGACGAGUCAAGUCCAUCGAAAAAUCCCAAAAAACGCAUGAAGAAAUUGGCAUAGGCAGUUAAUGAGGAAAAGACCGGUGACACUGAAAUUACCAUAAGAGGUGAUUGCCAAGAAGAUGGAAAGAAUGGAAGCUUCGUAACAGUUCUGGUGAAGUUCCCAUUAUCAUUUCAAUGGCCGGCCGGGCAAAAGAGUUCAAACAGACUGUUGGAAAGCUGUCAAAUGAAAAGGUUUUAGCAAUCAGCGAUAUGGGAUUUGGUAAUAUUUUCUUGUUCCGGUGCAGCAAAUUGAACCUCCACCUUUGCCAAAUGUUGGUCGACAAUUUUGAUGUAGGCAUGAAGAUUCAUGGGAGGCACUUGAUGAUCAGCCAUGAGGAUUUUAAGGGGGUAAUGAAUGUAAGGGAUGAGACUUGUGAAGUAGAACUAGCUGGUUGCUUGGAUGAUGCAGAUAUCGUGCAACUGAAGAGCAUGAUAUGUGGAAGUGAUAGUGAAAUCAGUAUUGACCGCUUGUGGAAGUGAUACCACUUUAUUAACCUACUAUUAUUUCUAUCAACAUCUGCACUCCAUAUAUUCAACCAAAGUUGAAAACAUUCCAAUCCAUAUAUCAUGAACAACCAGAGUCAGAGUCGUAAAGGAAGAUGAUAAAUCAUAUUUAUUCCAGAAUGAUUGGCAACAUAGGCCAUGACUUCAGCUAUUGUAAUCCUUCAUGUUGGGUUACUUAAAUAAUUUUCUUUUAA